UAACCAGUUGUUUUCCAAAUGGCUGAGAUUGGCGAGCCAUGUUGUUUUUAUCAUCCACUACAAACCUGCAUAGCAACAGGACACACCUCUCCUAGCUAUGUGCAUUUGUAAGCCAAUCACUAUUGAGUUUCAGUUGUGACGUCGUUUUUGUUGACACUUCCAUUAGCUGGCCACAUGCGAAACGUCACUGCAGCAGCGUGCUCUCGUGACCCUCGACGACGUCCACCCUGCGUUUUCUGCCUGGAAACAAAACACCGCGAGCUAAUCGGAGCUGUGGAAAAAACGUUAGAUUCCAGUGGUUGGAGGCUGCGUGGGGAAAUGGGGUCGGAUCAAAGUACCAGUUCGGCUGUUGACCAGCGACAGAGGAAUCCAGGCAAUCUGCCAUUCCAAGGUGAAGCAUCUUCAUCCAGUAUCCAAACUGAUACUGGUCCUGAGCCCCAGGAUCAUCUGGAUCCAGACACCAACCUGCCUCAAUGCCGAAUAGGCUCCAGGAAGGUAGACGACAUGAGCUUCAUGAUAUCCUGCACUAACUGGUACUAAAGACCAGAUACCAACUAUAUGAAUCGUUUCGUCCAUGAAUGAGAGCCAGAUUCAGUGUGGGACAACAGAAGACAUGGAGGCGGAGACAUUGAACAGAUGACGUUGGUAACCUCCAUGGAGGUUGCAAUGCUGUUUGAAUGGGUUUGAUGCAAUUUCUGACUUUAAUGUCAUGCAGUGUGCUUGAAGACAUCAAAGACGAAGUUUACUCUUGUGUACUGAUUGCAUUGUAUCAAAAGAGCAUGUAUUAUGUUGUUGAUAUCAACUUGGACUAAUGAAAUGUGAUCCAGAAAUCACCAAACAUCUUAAUGUAAUUUUCUUUUAUUGACAUUUCUUUGAACAUGGUGAUAUUAGAUACACAGUGUAAAACUGUAGACUGAAACCGUAAAUAAAAUCGACUCAUUGUCCAAAGGAUUCAAAAACAGGAUUCAAGAAAUAAAACUUAAAUCAUAUCUAAUAUAUUAGUAAAGCAAUCACUCUCAUUCUUAAUAAUCAACAUUAUGCAUGACAAUGUGAAAUCAUAGGCUACCGUUAGAGUGAAAGGAAAAUACAAAAGGUCUGAAAAGUUUCAGUAAAUCUUUGUAUUUACAUGACCAUUAAAACCCGGACGAAGCUGAGCAGACAGCGACAUUUGACCUGUAAAUCAGAAAAUAUCAAAAGUCCAAGGACAGAAUCUGAAUUCAUUGAAACUACAGAGUGAGAUGUUCACUCUUAAAUUCUUGUCAAAGGGAAAAAACAACCAGUUAUAUACACUUAUACAGUAAAUUCCCCCAU